rnacentral:rRNA from 1 species
CGGCGUGCCUAACACAUGCAAGUCGAACGGAGUUCUUAAGGAAUGCGGCUUCGGCUAAAUGACUUUUGAACUUAGUGGCGGACGGGUGAGUAACGCGUGAGCAACCUGCCUUUCAGAGGGGGAUAACAUUUGGAAACAGAUGCUAAUACCGCAUAAGAUUACAGUACCGCAUGAUACAGUGAUCAAAGGAGCAAUCCGCUGAAAGAUGGGCUCGCGUCUGAUUAGGCAGUUGGUGAGGUAACGGCCCACCAAACCUACGAUCAGUAGCCGGUCUGAGAGGAUGAACGGCCACACUGGAACUGAGACACGGUCCAGACUCCUACGGGAGGCAGCAGUGGGGAAUCUUCCGCAAUGGGCGAAAGCCUGACGGAGCAACGCCGCGUGAGCGAUGACGGCCUUCGGGUUGUAAAGCUCUGUGAUCCGGGACGAAAAGGCAGAGUGCGAAGAACAAACUGCAUUGACGGUACCGGAAAAGCAAGCCACGGCUAACUACGUG